GGAGGAGCUGUGGCGGGAAAACGCCGGAGUGAGGGGAAGGCGCCAUUUUCACUGGAUGCACGGGCGAUCCUUCUGCCUAACGCGCAUGACUAAAGUGUAGGAGCGACUCCGGCUGCUGCAGUCUAGUGGUUAAAGCAGGAACCACCUGUGAGGAGAGGCACAAACCUUUGAGCGUUCGGUUAUUACUACAUAAAAAUGCUCGGAAUCCUGCUCCUCCUCCGGCACCGUACCCGGUUGACGGCUCCCGGCGUUCCGGCGGCGAAGAUGGAGCGAUGGUGGCCGAUGACGACGACGAUGACAGCGUUCGGCUGGGCUGGCGCUGCGCUUUUAUAGCGUAAUGCACCAAAAUAAAACCCCGGCAGGUCCCACCCAGGAAUUAGCCAGGGAAAUUUAUAUUACGAAGGCGUGAUUUACGCCGGUGGAACCUAAACAAGAAAUUUGACGGGGGAAAGCCGUUAGCUGCGUGACGAUGUAAAUCGGAUGGGGUUUACGGUCGCUGUCUCUCCUUUCGCUCCGUCAGUGCUACUUUUGGUGUCCCGUGCGUGUGUUCUUUGUCCUGGUGACACGGUCCUGAGUGAAUUAAAAGUAAUUGAGAGCCUUUUAUUGGUUUAUCUUCCCUGGCUAUAAAAAUAAU